AAAAAGAAAGGAGGGAAAGCAAGAAAAAAAAAAGAAAAGAGGAUCACACCUCCUCCUUCCUGUUCCGUUGGAUCGACCUUUUUUCGUUCUACUCACAUCCCGUUUUUCCUGCUUUUGUUCCGU
rnacentral:ribozyme from 1 species